rnacentral:rRNA from 1 species
UGGGGAAUUUUGGACAAUGGGGGCAACCCUGAUCCAGCCAUGCCGCGUGAGUGAAGAAGGCCUUCGGGUUGUAAAGCUCUUUCAGAUGGAAAGAAAUCGUGCAGGCCAAUACCCUGCAUGGAUGACGGUACCGUCAGAAGAAGCACCGGCUAACUACGUG